AAUGGCUUCGGCUCUUUCUCUCCCCUCUUCUCCUCCUCCUUCUCAACUCCACACUCUCUCCUCCUCCUCAUCAUCAUCAUCAACUCUCCUCUCUCCAUGGCUCAAACCCCCCAAACCCCGAAACCCAUUAUCUCACAACAAGCUCUCUUCUCUCUCCCCGAAGCUCUCUCUCCAAACCCAACAAGCUUCAAUCCAACAAAACCCAAAACCAAACCCAGACCCAAACCCUCCAUUCAAAAACUCCAUCUGGGUCAACCCCAACAGCCCCCGAGCUCCCCUCCUCCGCCGCAACUCCUCUGAUUCUCGAUACUCUCGCCUCUCUAAGCUGUCUCAAUCCCUCAAUUCCCUCGAUCUGGAUGAAUCCGCCAUCGCGAAUUUACUCAGCUCUCUGGGCUCAAACCCAAGUGAGCAGGAUGCGGUCAUUGUGCUCGAUAACAUGGAGAAUGCGACCAAUGCCCUUGUAGCUCUCAAUUGGUUUCAGAACAGAAUUAAGGUCAAUCGAGAGGUAAUUUUGUACAAUGUCACUCUUAAAGUUAUUAGAAAGUCUAAAGAUUGGAACUUGGUAGAGACCCAUUUGAAGGAAAUGCUCGAAAAGGGGAUUAGACCCGAUAACGUCACGUUUUCGACUGUGAUUAGCUGCGCUAGGUUCUGUAAUUUGCCUGAAAAGGCUGUUGAGUGGUUUGAGAGGAUGCCCGAGUUUGGAUUGAACCCUGAUGAUGUAACUUACUCUGCAAUGAUUGAUGCUUAUGGUCGAGCUGGGAAUUUAGAGAUGGCUCUAGGGCUUUAUGAUCGUGCGAGGAAGGAAAAAUGGCGUCUUGACCCUGUUACUUUUUCGACUGUAAUUAGGGUUUAUGGCACUUCGGGUAAUUUCGAUGGUGCACUUAAUGUGUAUGAGGAAAUGAAAGCGCUUGGUGUCAAGCCGAACGUCGUGAUUUAUAACACAUUGUUGGAUGCAAUGGGGAAAGCCGGAAGGCCUUGGCAAGUGAAAACUAUUGUUAAAGAAAUGGAGAAUAAUGGGCUAGUGCCGAAUAGAAUAACUUAUGCUGCAAUACUAAGGGCUUAUAGUAGAGCUCGGUAUGCUGAGGAUGCUCUUAGAGUUUACGAAGAAAUGAAGAAGAAAGGAUUUGAACUGAGCAUAGUUUUGUAUAACAUGCUUUUGUCGAUGUGUGCUGAUAUUGGAUUGGUUGAUGAGGCAGUGAAGAUUUUCGAAGAGAUGAAAGGGUUACCAGAGGGUCUUAGGCCUGAUAGCUGGAGUUAUUCGUCGUUGAUCACUGUGUAUUCUUGCAUAGGGAAAGUCUCGGAGGCUGAAGGUAUAUUGAAUGAGAUGUUGGAAGCUGGCUUUCAACCUAAUAUCUUUGUGCUCACUUCACUUAUACAAUGCUAUGGAAAAUCUAAGAAAACUGAUGAUGUGGUUAAAACAUUUAAUCGGAUGUUAGAAUUGAAUAUUGAGCCUGAUGAUAGAUUUUGUGGGUGUCUCUUGAAUGUAUUGACACAAACCUCGUCAGAUGAGGUACAUAAGGUGAUUGAUUGCGUUGAAAGGUCUAACGCUGAAUUGGGUUCAUUGGUAAAGUUGUUAGUGGAUGAGAAAACUGAUAAAGAGACGAUAAAAGUGGGGGCAGGUGAGCUCCUUAAAAAAGUAAGCAAGGAAGUGAGGAAAGCUUACUGUAAUUGUUUGAUCGAUCUCUGUGUAAAUCUCAAUCAAUUAGAUAAAGGUUGUGUGCUCUUAGAACUAUCACUUGGAAUCGGGAUAUAUAAUGAACUUCAAUCAAAAUCGACAACUCAAUGGUCUUUACAUGUUAAGGGUCUCUCCUUUGGUGCAGCGUUCACUGCUUUGCGAAUUUGGAUGAAUGAUUUGUCGAAGGCGAUAAAAGAUGGGGAGGAAUUGCCUCCAUUGCUUGGGAUUCAUACUGGCCAUGGGAAGCAUAAAUAUUCAGAGAGAGGGUUGGCAGCUGUUUUUGAAUCGCAUUUGAGAGAAAUGAAUGCGCCGUUUUAUGAGGCUCAAGAUAAAGUUGGAUGGUUUUUGACGACCAAAGUUGCUGUUAAGUCUUGGCUUGAGUCGAGGAUUACACCUGAACUUGCUGCUGCUUAGCCUGCAGGGAUGGAGAUUGUAUUGGUAUCCUGUGUAUGAAAUGUUUACUCCAAUAUUCUUGCUGUUACGCAAGCAAAAUUAUGAUAUGGUUAGCUUUUAAUCUAAUCGGAAGGGAUUUCUCCUGAAGCCGGAGGGAAAAGUUUUGAGACAAAUACUUGGUUGUUGUUCGCUAACAAUGCAUAACCCAAAUUCAAAGAAUAUAGAGUCUUGUGAGCUGGAGAACCAACAAGGCGAUGCCUUUGAUAAAAAUUCUUGAGGUAACAUUUUUAUGCCUCUCCAGUCUAGCACUGAAACAAUCACGCCCCUUUUUUUUUCUUUUAUUAUUAUUAUUAUUUACUUU